rnacentral:rRNA from 1 species
UACGUAGGGUGCAAGCGUUGUCCGGAAUUAUUGGGCGUAAAGAGCUCGUAGGCGGUUUGUCGCGUCUGCUGUGAAAACCCGAGGCUCAACCUCGGGCCUGCAGUCGAUACGGGCAGGCUAGAGUUCGGUAGGGGAGACUGGAAUUCCUGGUGUAGCGGUGAAAUGCGCAGAUAUCAGGAGGAACACCGAUGGCGAAGGCAGGUCUCUGGGCCGAUACUGACGCUGAGGAGCGAAAGCGUGGGAGCGAACAGG